rnacentral:snoRNA from 1 species
GUGAAGAAGUGGUUGGAGUGCUGAGUGGUGACGAGUGGCGGCAUGCUGA